AGUUCAGGUAACACUGAAUGGAGGACCGAACCGACUUACGUUGAAAAGUGAGCGGAUGAACUGAGGGUAGCGGAGAAAUUCCAAUCGAACCUGGAGAUAGCUGGUUCUCUCCGAAAUAGCUUUAGGGCUAGCCUCAAGUGAUGAUUAUUGGAGGUAGAGCACUGUUUGGACGAGGGGCCCCUCUCGGGUUACCGAAUUCAGACAAACUCCGAAUGCCAAUUAAUUUAACUUGGGAGUCAGAACAUGGGUGAUAAGGUCCGUGUUCGAAAGGGAAACAGCCCAGACCACCAGCUAAGGUCCCAAAAUAUAUGUUAAGUGGAAAAGGAUGUGGCGUUGCCCAGACAACUAGGAUGUUGGCUUAGAAGCAGCCAUCAUUUAAAGAGUGCGUAAUAGCUCACUAGUCGAGUGACACUGCGCCGAAAAUGUACCGGGGCUAAACAUAUUACCGAAGCUGUGGAUUGUCCUUUGGACAAUGGUAGGAGAGCGUUCUAAGGGCGUUGAAGCAUGAUCGUAAGGACAUGUGGAGCGCUUAGAAGUGAGAAUGCCGGUGUGAGUAGCGAAAGACGGGUGAGAAUCCCGUCCACCGAUUGACUAAGGUUUCCAGAGGAAGGCUCGUCCGCUCUGGGUUAGUCGGGUCCUAAGCUGAGGCCGACAGGCGUAGGCGAUGGAUAACAGGUUGAUAUUCCUGUACCACCUAUAAUCGUUUUAAUCGAUGGGGGGACGCAGUAGGAUAGGCGAAGCGUGCGAUUGGAUUGCACGUCUAAGCAGUAAGGCUGAGUAUUAGGCAAAUCCGG
rnacentral:rRNA from 1 species